rnacentral:lncRNA from 1 species
GACGGAGAAAAAAGCCACAGUGGAUGCGGAAGGCAACUUUGAUCCCCGGCCUGUGGAGACCCUCAAUGUCAUCAUCCCAGAGAAGCUGGACUCCUUCAUUAACAAGUUCGCAGAAUAUGCCCAUGAGAAGUGGGCCUUUGACAAGAUUCAGAACAACUGGUCCUAUGGCGAGAACAUUGAUGAAGAACUGAAGACCCACCCCAUGCUGAGACCCUACAAGACCUUCUCAGAGAAGGACAAAGAGAUUUACCGCUGGCCCAUCAAGGAGUCCUUGAAGGCCAUGAUUGCCUGGGAAUGGACGGUCGAGAAGGCCAGGGAAGGUGAGGAGGAAAAGACCGAAAAGAAAAAAACA